ACUGACGGUUGUGUAAUGGCAAGUAGUUCAAAUAAUCAUAUUUUAGUCGGGACCGAGUAAGUGUCGUGUUAGGAUAUAAUAUUAAUAAUCAUGCCUCUCGUUAAUUUCGAAGAUUUGUAUCCGGUAAUUGUGUUUUGUGUGAAGGAAUUAACAGAAUACAGACAUAACCUGUGUGGCCUUGUAUCUCAUACUCUACGAUAUGAUGUUAGGCACUGUGCUCUUCGGGUUACAGUCAAUCGUGAACUGCUUCUGCAUGCUGAGAAUAUUAGCCUUCUGAAACUCUAAAAAGUGUGAGAGAAUUUGCGGAACAAAGAAAAGCCGUUUGUCACAGAAGUGUGUCGGGAUGAGAGGGAAAUGGAGAAUCGAACUGUCCCGGAGGUUGAAACUCUCGUCUCCACCCCCUGAGAUUCUAAGAACGUGAUUUUUGAUUGCUUCCUGCGAUUCGUCGCCUGAUAACCGCAACGUCUUCAAAUGCUGAAGGAGAUGUUUCAAGAAAGUUUUACGCGGAGGCAAGUAGGACAGUGAGUAAGCAAUUUGACAUCGGUAAUCAGCUUCCUUCAUUACGAAAAUUGGUGAUAGAAGAAAUGUACUGCAGACUAACGUGACUGGUGAUACAAGGUGACAUCCGUGUUUAAACUGGCAGUAUCACCAGGGAACCAAGCUGAGUUGCGGAGUUCUUGCAAAUAAUUCCGACCCUUAUUUCGGUGAAACAGUCCGCGACAACUACUGAUAUUAGAGUGAUAUUUUCCUUCACCAUUAUCGUCAUCAGUUUUUUAAACGAACGCGAAGACGCCCUGAGUUAUUGCUUGUGUUUUUCGAAUCGCAUCAGUGUAUCGGCGUAUCGUGUAAUAUUUAGUUACACUAUUAUCGAGAGUAUAGGCAUGUUGCUCCAACACGUGUGACAGUCCACUGCUUUCCGUCAGUAACAACAACAUAUAACAACAGGCUGUUCCGCAAACUAAGUAUAUUAUUAUUAAUAUCCCAAAGUUACUUUUUAAUCGAAGGUGUAAGCAGUGUCACAGAUGUUAAGAAACAAAGUUAUGUUCAGAAAUCUUAUAUCUGGACCUUCAACUGUGAUCUUUAUUGUAUCAGUGGAAGAAAUUAUUUAACGAACAGCACUUUCAAGAGAAUAAAUUCUUGAAUUGUAUGUAAUUAUAAUUAGUAAAAAGACCGAUAUCUCUCAACACUUUAAAGCUCAGUGAUCUAUAUAGUUACCGCCUGCAUUAAUAUUAUAAAACUCUUGCUUUCUUCUCAUAGAAUGUAGUUGUGUGUUCCGUAUGACUCUCACAAUAAACAAUGACUGUUUUUCUAGACAGAAUUAACCGGUUGGAAUUUGUAGCGGGCAAGUAAUGUGUUUCCUAUGAGGUACGGACUCAAUAAUUAUAUUUAUUGCAUUCUGGCGACAAAGUGUAUCUGUGAGUUCGCGUUUACCCCGAUAGCAUUAACCGUUUGAGCUUUGUAACGAAGAAGUGAUGUGUUUCCUGUGAGGUACGGACUGGAUUUUUAUGUAUAUUUCGAAGAAAUUCGGUCUUUAAAGCGUUAAAUUUAGGGGGCAGAAAGUCAGUAAAAUUAUUGUGCGAAGAAAAAUAUGUCUGAUGUUUCAAGAGUAUUCAAUAAAGUUUAAUGUCGUUUAUACAGAAUAAGUGUAUUGUUUUGGAACAAUGAAUUAUACCGUAACAUCAUACGAGUGUAUUAAAUACAUAUUAACAGUUGUGUUGUAGAUACAUUUAAUUCUAUACGUGUGUUACAAGAGGCCUACUAAAACAGGCGACAUCCUAUCUGUGCUGAAGACAAUUCCAUAAGAGUCUUGUGGGGGUAUGUGUGACUUGGCAACUGAAGGUGUGACUUACGUGUGAAGGCAGCGGUCUGUAGGAUUGCAUUGUUGCUGCAACUUAGAGGUACGUCCGUCGUCAGUUGUGGAGGGUCCUCAGGCUUCUACCGCCGCCGCCGCGCCGCCUCCCGGGGGUGUCUGUGCAGCCGACAUAUUUGCUUGUUGGGACUUGGUUCGACACCCAACUGGUCCAGUAACGCGUUCCUUCCACCCUCAGUACUGCAACCACGUUCCGACAGACUGCGCUGCGGAUAUCAACAGUUGCCCGAGGAUGUCGUUCUUGGCUCUGGAAUCGAACUCC